rnacentral:tRNA from 1 species
GGGGGUUUAGCUCAGUGGUUCAGGCACCUGCCUUGCAAGCUGAAGGGCAUGAGUUCAAUCCCCAAUUACCUCCA